CAUAAAAGUCCUGAUCUUUUGGAAUAUAGAAUAACAUAAAGCUGUUUUGUAACUGAAGUAAUUUCACACUUGUAUGGUUUGACUAGGGAAUGUACAGGCAACAUUACUCAGAAUAAUAAAAAAAAAACAUAAAAUAUUUCUUCUGCAAACGACAGGAAAAUUUGUAUUGUGAUUAACGUUGAUUAAUUAAUGAAACAAUUAUCUUAUUAAUUCAAACUUCAUACAUAUUCAUAAAGCCAAACGUUAAAUAAAGUGCAUAUAAAUAUCUACGAGGAUUAUUUAAAUUAACGGAUGCUUCAUAUUUUUUGACAUAGCAUAAAGUUUAAAUCGGAAGCAAUAAAAAUCAUUUAGACUACAGAUUCGGUUUGUUACGUCUGUUCAUAACAGAUACUGUCAAAGUGCAACAUCCCUAUCAGUAUGACAAAGAACCUAUUCAAUGAACAUGGUGGGGCUAAGAGCGAGGUUUGGUGCACCAUUAACCGGUUUAAACUCCCCAGCAGUCAUUAUUAUGCUGUCUCUUGUUGUUUUCUCGUCUACGUUCCUUCAGAAAACAUGUAAUAUCCAUAAAGUAACGAUAUAUAAACAAUUGUUGCCAAGAAACAACAAAAGAAGUAUAUGAGAUGAGUGGUCUAUGUAUGCAUUUUAAGCUAAUUGCAACAAUGGUUGGUAUGACAAUGCUUGUUAAACUAUAAAAAUAUAAAUCAAUUUUUUUUUCUUAAUAUCAAAAGCUCUAUUGAAAUAUAACAUAUGAAUGUGAUAUGAACGAUCAUGAAAUCAGAGACAGUUAUCAACGUUUUUCAGAUGUAACCCUUCAAAAUGAUCAGCCACACUUUAGCUAUUCAUAGACGUUUAUGUAUAUGUUUGUUUGUUUGUUUAAUUGGGUUUUACGUCACACCGACACAUUAUAGGUCACAUGGUUACGUUCCACCUUUACUGGUGGAGGAAGACCUUAGGUGUCCUUCCGUACAUUAUUUCAGGCACGAACGCCUGAGUAGAACCAUCGACGUUCGGUAAGCUAGCUGGAUAAAUUCUUCAUAUGAAAGAAUCAUAAGUACCUGUCGGGAUUCGAACUACAGCAGUGAAGGGCAAGUGGUUUGAAGUGUACUAUUUUUCUUUAUACAUCACAAAAGGAUAUUCGAUAUCGUCAGCUAAAUAUUCAAUAUUUCAAAAAACACUUCAGCUCAUAACAAGAUGUACGUUACUCAUACAAUGUUGUUGCCUUCUUGCUAAACUGUUGUCAGAGCGGUGAGGGGCACGUUUAUGUGAAUAACACAACAUAUUUAUGCUCACAAAAACAUAGCUUUUCAAAACAUUUAGCAUCAUGAUUCCAUCAACACAAUGACAAUUUGUUCAAAUGUUGCAUUUUAAUGAAAAUUAGAUAUGUUAAGGGGUAAAUACUUAAUUAAUUUAAACCAUUACAAUCUUACACGGCUAUUUCCCUCUAAACAAAUAUGAAAUGUAUGAUCCUGUAUAAGCUAUUGAUAAGAAUACCAUUUGUUACAAAUUAUAUACACACUUUGUUAUUUGUAUCUGUAAUCAAAAUAACCAUAAUUGAUGAUAACUAUAUAUAAAUAAUACAUCAUGGAAUUUAUAAAACUAGAAAUGUGUGAAAUAGGACACGGGUGCCCCCACUCGCCACUGUUCUGUCAAUUUAAUGACUCUAAGUCAAAUAUUUGUUGGACUACAUGUGCCACAAGUUGAUAACUAAUUUUUUUUUACUGAGUAAAGGGCAAGAAUUUUACAAAUACUGAAUAAAUCCGCAAGCAAACCCCAAUGUACAUAAGAACACAUGCUGACCAACAUUCUUGUAUACUUUCAGGCCUACAAGUCAAAUACUUUUUGAGCUAUGCAUGAACAAGUUGAAAAUUGCAAAUUAAUACUACUAUAAAAUAGAUAAAAACAGAAUCCCUAAAGAAAGCCCAACACGGCAAAAUUGAAAAUGUUGCAGGCUCGGUUUGAUUGAGCCAUUAUCCCUAACCCUAACCCUUAUAAGUCAAGGGAAUAACAAAAUAACAAAACUACCCAGGUGCACCUAAAGUGGGGGAACAAUAAGAAUCCCUAAAGAAAGUUCAAAACGACAAAACUGUAAAAAAUUACAAGCUCGGUUUGAUUCAGCCUAUUCAUGGACGGUACUGUCAGGUACAAAGUUACGUCUAUGUCCCCUUGUACCGGCUUAAGCAGAAUUCAACAUUUUUUUACAUGGAAACGUUGAAAUUUUGAAUUAAGAAACAUCCGCAGAUGUGUUCAUGCGGAUGUUUAACCAUGAUUUAAUAAAUUACAAGUUUGGCAAUCUAACCGUACAUGUUAAGUGACAAAGCCUGCAGCUGUCAACAAUGAUCUCAUCAUACAAAAUAUUGACUAGUGAACUAUGGAAUAUGAUGUGAUAUUCACCGCCUAAUGUCAUAUUUACACCGUACAAUCAAAUGGGCAGACAACCUUUAAACCGUCGACAACCAUACUAGUUUUAUAAGACAGACUGACGGACUGACUGCCUGACUGAGGAAUGGAUAAUGCUAAUUUAAUAUAAACUUUCCGUGUAAAAUAUAUAAAUAAUGAAUAAAUUUAUUAAUAUUUGAUAAUAUAUAAAUACACAUUGAACCCAUGACAGUCUUUUGAUUAAUGACGGAUAAUUACCUUUAUAUGUAUUUUUGUCAGAAAAUAUGGCAACGAGACCUUACACGAUAUUUUACGGAAUAAAUUAAAUGAUUAUUUUUGGCCUGAAAACCCUAUGGAGUUGUUUGGACGGACCGACAGGAAAAAAUUAUUCAACGUCAGGCAGACAAUGGAUGUAAGAAUUUAUAUGCAGAUAUAAUUACAUUUGUAAAGCAAAAAGCAAAAUGUUGAUAUAUAUUAGUAUAACGGGCAGUGUUGAACAAAGACUAUUGUGUCCUUUUCGGUAUUUGCUCUUUGAAACUUUUCUUAGUUCAGAAUGAAACAUUACUUUCUUGAUAUUUGAUGAAUAAUACACAAAUUAUCGAAAAUUAGAAUAAAAGCCCAUUGUUCUUGCUUUCUGCUUUCUAUGACUCAUUACAGAAUGACAUUCAUGACAAACGUUAAAAUCAUUGUACCUCAAGACUUCAUCGAUUGCUCAGACUUUAGAAAAUCAGAUUGAAUGAGUGAUAAAAGUACCUCUUUAUUAUAGCUUUUCCAUAAAUAAUUUUUAUACCCACGCACAACAAAGUUGUAAGGGGGGUAUACUGGAAUCAGCUUGUCCGUCCGGCUGUCCGGCCAACCGGCCGUCCGUCGGUUUUUUAUUGUCCGCCCAAUAACUUAAGAUUCCUUUGACCCACAGUCUUCAUAUUUGGCAUGCAGGUUAGUCAUGAUUAGUAGAUGACCCCUAUUGAUUUUGAGGUCACUAGGUCAAAGGUCAAGGUCACAGGGGCCUUGACUUCAAAAAGCUUGUCCACCCAAUAACUUAAGAUUCCUUUGACCUACAGUCGUCAUAUUUGGCAUGGAGGUUAGUCAUGAUUAGUUAAUGACCCCUAAUAAUUUUGAGGUCACCAGGUCAAAGGUCAAGGUCACAGGGGCUUUGAUUUCAAAAAGCUUGUCCGCCCAAUAACUUAAAAUUCCUUUGACCCACAGUCUUCAUAUUUGGCAUGGAGGUAAGUCGUGAUUAGUAGAUGACCCCUAUUGACUUUGAGGUCACCAGGUCAAAGGUCAAGGUCACAGGGGCCUUGACUUCAAAAAGCUUGUCCGACCAAUAACUUAAGAUUCCUUUGACCCACAGUCUUCAUAUUUGGCAUGGAGGCUAGUCAUGAUAAGUAAAUGACCCCUAUUGACUUUGAGGUCACCAGGUCAAAGGUCAAGGUUACAGGGGCUUUGACUUCAAAAAGCUUGUCCGCCCUAUAACUUAAGAUUCCUUUGACCCACAGUCUUCUUAUUUGGCAUGGAGGUUAGUCAUCAUUAGUAGAUGACCCCUAUUGACUUUGAGGUCACCAGGUCAAAGGUCAAGGUUACAGGGGCUUUGACUUCAAAAAGCUUGUCCGCCCUAUAACUUAAGAUUCCUUUGACCCACAGUCUUCAUAUUUGGCAUGGAGGUUAGCCAUGAUUAGUAGAUGACCCCUAUUGAUUUUGAGGUCACCAGGUCAAAGGUCACAGGGGCCUUGACUUCAAAAGCUUGUCCGCCCAAUAACUUAAGAUUCCUAUGACCAACAGUCUUCAUAUUUGGAAUGGAGGUUAGUCAUGAUUAGUAGAUGACCCCUUUUGAUUUUGAGGUCACUGGAUCAAAGGUCAAGGUAAUAGGGACUUUGACUUCAAAAAGUUUGUCCACCCAUUAACUUAAGAUUCCUUUAACCCACAGUCAACAUAUUUGGCAUGGAUGUUGAUCAUGACUAUAAGGUGACCCCUAUUGAUUUUGAGGUCACUGGGUCAAAGGUCAAGGUCACAGGGACCUUGACAAAAAAAGCUUUUCUUCUCAAUUGCAAAAGAAUGUCCUGUCCGCAAUGUAUGGAUUUUGACAUUUUCACAUUUGAAGCAUGUAGAAUACAUAACUUAGCAAUGCACUGGCUUAGUAACCUCAGAUUUGGCAGGGAGGUUGUCCUUCAGCUCUAAAUGGCCACUGUUGAUUCUGACAAAGUGGUAUGCGGGGGUAUUCACGCCAUCAUAGUGGCAGUUCUAGUAAGGUGCAAAUUUUAAUGUUUGAAUGUUUAUGUAUUUUAAGUUAGGGAGGCUAUUUUGUUCAGCCUAUUAAAAUAUAUUCGACAUCGUAAAUUCUUUUUUGUGGAUGUUACUUCAUAAGAAAAUCCCAAAUUACUAUCACUGUGGCAUUAAUCGGUCGAAGGCUGUCUGCGAGCGAUGUGGUUUCUAGUAAAAUGAACAUGGGAGAACUACGUUUAGGAGGCAUUUUCACUGAUCAGGUUUAUCCUACAUUCUCACAAGCAUCCUUAAGUUGCGAAGACGUAUCUGCAAGCGUCUCAGAUAUUGGAUACACUUCUGGCACUUCAGUUCACAAGCAUCACGUACCUCACUCUAAGACAAUGUCCUAACCAGUUCAGUUAAAGGGUUAAAUACUUUACACAAAAUCUUCGUUAUCUCCAAUAUUGAAUAGUGUGUCAUAGAUUCAGAUCAUUGUCCAGGUAUGUGGGGAAUUUUGUUUUUUGCUCAAUCAAACAAACUUGAAUACAGAACAUAAAACAUAUCAUUGACAUAAUAAAGAUGAAGAUAUUCCCGUGAACAAAAUAUUUUUAGACAUUACUGCACAAAUUUACAGCACUGCGUUAUAUUUUUGUAAGCCAGUAAUUGCGUGUUUGAAUCAAAAGCGGGUUCAAUUGAAUUUUCUUUCUUGUUUAACAAAUGUAAAUGUUCGGAAGUUCUUGCAUCUGGACUUUGCCUUUACAUCAAAAAUCAAUUUUAUAAACAAAACUUACUUAAGAAAUGCAAUACUUUUCUUCAGCCCACAUGAUGACAUUCAAAAGAAUGAAUGUUACGCAUGCGUAAAAACCUACCUCAAGUACUAUAAAAUAUCAUUUAAUUUUGGCUAAGUGGUAACGUGUCGCCAGUAUGUCACAUAGCUGGUGACUGUAAGUUCGAUUCUCAUGUAUCAAGCUUGUGAUAUUAUUUGCUUUUGCAUUUAAGACAGAAAAGUCAAAAUAAUCUGUUUCAUAGUUUGUUGUACAUUAUAGAACAGUUGGUACACGAUCGAUGAUAAAAAUGACAACUUUGACAUUCAAAUUACAUGAACAUCUCAACGAUACAUUUUAAAGUCACUCAAAGUUUCUUUAAUUGACAUGUGUAUGGAUUUUGCUGUAGCAGAUGUUGCAACUAAUCUUUUUUAUGUUUAACUUUAACUGUUUGAUAUUUCAACGAAAGUAGGUACACGCAUGAAUUCCUUGUUUUUCAAAAUUUCAAAGCACAAUCUUCAGUUUUCCAGAAAAAAUUAUGUUUCUGUUCAGGAUUCGGGGGGGGGGGGGGCGUCCGUGGCCAACUGACUUAAAACUUCUUGUCCUUCACCGCUGUGGAUUCGAAUCCCGACAGGGACUUUGAAUUCUUUCAUGUAAAGAAGCUUUCCAGCUAGCUUACGGAACGUCGGAGGUUCUACUCAGGUGCCCGUUCGGACGGAAGCCGAAGUCUUUCUCCUCCAGUAAAGCUGGAACGUCGCAAUAUGACUUAUACGGUGUCGGUGUGAUGUUUUUUUGUUUGUUUCAUUUUACGCCUUUUCCCAACAGUAUUUCAGUCAUAUAGGCGGGUAGUUUCCUAACCAUCAUUCCUGGAGAGUUACACCAGUACUAGACUACCUUCCUCCGCGCUGAACUACCAAAGCAUCUCCCGGGGAUCGAACCCCCGCCAGAGUCGGUGUGAUGUAAAACUCAAUCAAACAAACAUGUUAAGGAUUUGCUUUUAAGCAUGCCUGUUGUAUUGAUAUUUUUUAACCGAGCCUGUAACAUUUUCAAUGUUGUCGUGUUAGGCUUUCUUUAGGGAUUCUGUAUUUCUCUAUUUUAUGAUUAAUUUUGAUUUCAUUUACAUUUUGGAAAUAUAAUUAGGAAGUAACACAAUGCAAAAAGUUAGAGAUGAAUUAAUUUUCAGUGGUAUUCAGACAAAAUUAUCACAAAUAAAACUUAAUAUUUUAAUUCACGUGACCACUUUAAUGAUAUUUCAAUAAACCGUGUAUUUAACUCUAUGGCUUUCCUUCAAUAUUUGAUACUAUAAAGUUAGAUUGUGUGUUGAAAUAAAAGUUCAGCUGCGAUAAUUGAUAUUACAAUACCUGUAUAAAUUAAAAUAUAAAUUAAGCAAAUGCGAUGAUUUGUUGUUAAUGGAUACAACAAAGGUGAAUGCUUAGCUACAUGCAAAAACACGUCCAUAUCAGAGCAUGUCAACUAGUAUUUAUUUCCAACGUUAACAUUAAUGAGUCAGAUUAAGUCUAGUACUUUUGUAUUUAUUUUGAUCAAAUAUGCCAAACUAAUUUGGCAGACUGUAUUUCUAUGAUUUGAUACCAUAUUUUUUAUUAUCUUAUAAGUCUGUUGGAUUAUAUAACAAUUUAUUAUAUCAAACAGGUGACCUUAAUGUUUUGACAUUGUUCUUAUCCAUUUAACAUGUCUUAAACAUAAAACGAGAAUAAAUCUAAGGUUUCGACCAAUUCACCAAAGCAAACACGUGAUCUUCAAAACUGAACAUCGAACUUAGUAAAACACAAAAUACCAGAUCCUUUCUUCAUGUUAAUUACUUUUCGUAAGCUGCCUCGUUAAUCUGUUACAUGAAACAUGUUUUAAAGAUUUGUAUACCAAGUAAUUGAUCGCCCUUUGUUUCUGCAAUGCUUUAUCACAAAUGUCUUAAUUAAAUUGAACACAUGUUAAAUGCAAACAAUGGUGGAGAGUCAAAGAUGUUUUAUAAACUCUGAUAUCAAAACGUCGCAGAUGUGUAGCCUAGAGGAUCCUCUAUGUUUAAAUUAAAAGAUGGAACUAUUUCUAAGAUGAGACGGCAAGAAUUUGGAUUUUAGUGGCUUUUGAAAGCUCUAUUUGGAUUCCUCAAGUCCACUUAACCAAAGGGCAAGAGAAAAAUUAAAUAUACUUAUUUCGCACAAGUCUUCGAAAUACCAAUAAGUAAAAGCGAAAUACAUAGAAUAAAGUAAUAUUUAACAGUUUUUGACAUGAUGAUCGAUCAUCAGCAAUAUGUUGCCAUCAGAAUACCACUAUAAACAACAAAGUCCUUUUGCUUAAUCCGACCUUUGCAUAAAAUAUUUGUAUGUAUUUGAUUUUUUUUAUAUUAUUCCCUCUGACAGUGACCAUGUUCAACAAAUAGGAAAUAGUUUACGUUUUAUGGACAGGAUAAAUUCAUGUUAAUACCAGUCCCGUUUCAUAAAAAUAGUCAUCUAGCGGAUUUGGAGGAUAUUUCUUUUAAAGGCAAUAUGGGUUUAUCUUUAUCCUGAAUUUUAUUCAACAUUUGUUUUUCUUUUUAUUUUGUGAGAACUAUAUUAUAAUUCUUUCUGAUUUUUUUACAGUAGAUGAAGUAUUUGUUUCUUCAAAAAAAUAA